CCUACGGGAGGCAGCAGUGGGGAAUAUUGGACAAUGGGGGCAACCCUGAUCCAGCCAUGCCGCGUGUGUGAAGAAGGCCUUUUGGUUGUAAAGCACUUUAAGCAGGGAGGAGAGGCUAAUGGUUAAUACCCAUUAGAUUAGACGUUACCUGCAGAAUAAGCACCGGCUAACUCUGUGCCAGCAGCCGCGGUAAUACAGAGGGUGCGAGCGUUAAUCGGAAUUACUGGGCGUAAAGCGAGUGUAGGUGGCUCAUUAAGUCACAUGUGAAAUCCCCGGGCUUAACCUGGGAACUGCAUGUGAUACUGGUGGUGCUAGAAUAUGUGAGAGGGAAGUAGAAUUCCAGGUGUAGCGGUGAAAUGCGUAGAGAUCUGGAGGAAUACCGAUGGCGAAGGCAGCUUCCUGGCAUAAUAUUGACACUGAGAUUCGAAAGCGUGGGUAGCAAACAGGAUUAGAUACCCUGGUAGUCCACGCCGUAAACGAUGUCUACUAGCCGUUGGGGUCCUUGAGCUUUAGUGGCGCAGUUAACGCGAUAAGUAGCCGCCUGGGGGAGUACGCGCGAGUAACGUACAAUAGAGUAGAGGCGNGAGAGNGCGAGGACGACGACGAGGGAGGAGG
rnacentral:rRNA from 1 species